GCCCCACUGGCCUAGAGGAAGUCCCUUGGGGUUAGAGCCUUUUUAGCUCUGAUAGUGGGAGAUUUUAGAAUCUCAGCGCCGUGGGUUCGAGCCCUACCUGGGGCA